UACGAAGGGGGCUAGCGUUGCUCGGAAUCACUGGGCGUAAAGCGCACGUAGGCGGAUUGCUAAGUCAGGGGUGAAAUCCUGGAGCUCAACUCCAGAACUGCCUUUGAUACUGGCAACCUUGAGUCCGGGAGAGGUGAGUGGAACUGCGAGUGUAGAGGUGAAAUUCGUAGAUAUUCGCAAGAACACCGGUGGCGAAGGCGGGUCUCUGGGCCGAUACUGACGCUGAGGAGCGAAAGCUAGGGGAGCGAACGGG
rnacentral:rRNA from 1 species